AAAAAUAAAUUCAAAAGCGCAAAGUCUCCGGCGGCGGCGGCGGCGCAGAAGAAACCGGAGGCUGCCAAGAAGCUCCCCAAGGACGAAGGCAGCCAUCGGCGGAGAGUAGACGAAGAAGAGGACGAAGAAGAGCGUGGAGACGUACAAGAUCUACAUCUUCAAGAAAAAAAAAAAGCUCUCUAUUGCCAGAUCUGGUGACGACGUCGAUGCAAGACAGCCAUCGUUUGAUCUCCUAUUUUUUUUCUUUAUGCACAUGCAUGUUAAUUGCUCUGGUAUUGAAAAUUGGGAAAAAUUAUUGUUAUUGUGGAUUUUUUAAAGGUUUAUUUGGUUCGAGGGAAGAAAUCAUCCGUUAGGGUUUUGUUUUUUUCUCGGUGAAAGGAUCAUUUUUUUUGAAAUCAAGUGUUUAAUUUUCUAUGUAUUGUUCCUUUUAAUUGGGUUUCCUAUCUCAGCUUGAUUAUUGCAGUCUUGAGAUCUGAAAAUUGUCGGAUUUUUUUGGUGUAGAAGAAGCAAAUUUUAAUUAUUA